UUUCAUCACCUUGGCGCGCGUGGUGGUACUGAUUGUGCUCGCCACUCUGAUAUGGGUGCCCGUCGGCGUCUGGAUCGGGCUUCGACCGAAGCUUGCCGAAUCCAACCGCUCGCGCAAUUCUUGGCUGCGUUCCCCGCAAAUCUCGCAUUCCCGGUCUUUGUGGUAAUCAUCGUCCACUACGGGUUGAACGUGAACGUCUGGCUCA
rnacentral:misc_RNA from 1 species